UAGCAGUCUGCGCGGAAACGAUCAUAACUGAAGUUCUGGGAAUCCGUUUGAGGCGUUCUAAAAAUCGCCGGAAAGCUAAGAGAGAGAGCUACGACUUUCGUGUUGGAGUCAAAGUCAGAUUCAUUUCAGCUUAUUCAAAUAAUCACUUUUUAUAAUCACUUAUUUUCUGCAUUUUUGUAAUUGAACACCAAAUCAACCCCCCCAUUCGAUUACGUUUAAUUAUUACAAACAAGAAUCCUUGAGACGAUAUCCAAGUUUAAUUGUCGUUGUAUUACGUUUUUUUACAAAAUUACUCGUUUUGAUCCGCGCGCGACAGCCGAUCAAAUUGGCGCCGUUGCCGGGGAUUCUUAUUUCUUUUAAUCGUUUUUAGAGUCAUAGGUUUAGUGUCUAAGCAUAUAGGUCCUAG
rnacentral:lncRNA from 1 species